ACGAAGGGGGCUAGCGUUGUUCGGAAUUACUGGGCGUAAAGCGCACGUAGGCGGAUCAGCAAGUUAGGGGUGAAAUCCCGGGGCUCAACCCCGGAACUGCCUCUAAAACUGUUGAUCUCGAGUUCGGGAGAGGUGAGUGGAAUUCCGAGUGUAGAGGUGAAAUUCGUAGAUAUUCGGAGGAACACCAGUGGCGAAGGCGGCUCACUGGCCCGAAACUGACGCUGAGGUGCGAAAGCGUGGGGAGCAAACAGG
rnacentral:rRNA from 1 species